rnacentral:rRNA from 1 species
GAUGAACGCUGGCGGCGUGCUUAACACAUGCAAGUCGAACGGUGAAGGCGGAGCUUGCUCUGCUGGAUCAGUGGCGAACGGGUGAGUAACACGUGAGCAAUCUGCCCCUGACUCUGGGAUAAGCGCUGGAAACGGCGUCUAAUACUGGAUACGAGCUGCGAAGGCAUCUUCAGCAGCUGGAAAGAGUUUCGGUCAGGGAUGAGCUCGCGGCCUAUCAGCUUGUUGGUGAGGUAAUGGCUCACCAAGGCGUCGACGGGUAGCCGGCCUGAGAGGGUGACCGGCCACACUGGGACUGAGACACGGCCCAGACUCCUACGGGAGGCAGCAGUGGGGAAUAUUGCACAAUGGGCGAAAGCCUGAUGCAGCAACGCCGCGUGAGGGACGACGGCCUUCGGGUUGUAAACCUCUUUUAGCAGGGAAGAAGCGAAAGUGACGGUACCUGCAGAAAAAGCGCCGGCUAACUACGUG